GGAGAGGUGGCUCAGCGGUUAAGAGCACUGACUGCUCUUCCAGAGGUCAUGAGUUCAAUUCCCAGCAACCACA
rnacentral:tRNA from 1 species